rnacentral:rRNA from 1 species
GAUGAACGCUAGCUACAGGCUUAACACAUGCAAGUCGCGGGGCAGCAUGGGGGUUGCUUGCAAUCCCCGAUGGCGACCGGCGCACGGGUGAGUAACGCGUAUCCAACCUGCCCUUCACCACGGGAUAACCCGGCGAAAGUCGGACUAAUACCGUAUGUUGUCCAUUGACGGCAUCCGAUUUGGACGAAAGGUUUGGCGGUGAAGGAGGGGGAUGCGUCCGAUUAGCUGGACGGCGGGGUGACGGCCCACCGGGGCGACGAUCGGUAGGGGUUCUGAGAGGAAGGUCCCCCACACUGGAACUGAGACACGGUCCAGACUCCUACGGGAGGCAGCAGUGAGGAAUAUUGGUCAAUGGGCGUAAGCCUGAACCAGCCAAGUAGCGUGCAGGAUGACGGCCCUAUGGGCUGUAAACUGCUUUUAUGCGGGGAUAAAGUGGCCCACGUGUGGGUUUUUGCAGGUACCGCAUGAAUAAGGACCGGCUAAUUCCGUG